rnacentral:misc_RNA from 1 species
CCUUUCUACGGAGAUAUUUUUCUGGCCACUGUCUGGUGGCCUUUCCUGCCCCGGUUCCCGCGGUGGUCGCGGGGGUUUGUCCGGGGUGUGCUGGUGUGGAAGAGAUCGUGUGGCUUGGAGUGGUGCGGGCAUGCUUUUGGGUUCCCGGAUCGCCACCCAUGGGGUUUGUCCCCCGUGUGGCGUCCGUCGUCCCGGUCUUGCGGCGCGUCCCCCGGCGGGGUUCGCGUGGUCGCGGGUCGGGUGCGUGGCGGUUUGAGAACUGGAUAGUGGACGCGAGCGAGAAGGGCGGGUUUGUCCCGUCCCUUUAUCGCUGUAUUUUUCGAUCGAACUUCAUUUUUGGUGUUGUUCGUCGAUCGUUUUGUGAUCAUUUCAGAUGUGAUGAUUUGUCGUCUGGGAAUUUGCUGAUUGGGCGCUUGCGGGUCCCGCACGGGUGUGUG